rnacentral:misc_RNA from 1 species
AAAUAAUCUUCCUCUCCAACUUAUGUCAAAGGGUCUUCACUGGAGCCCUCCUUGGUGGACCUUUGAUGGAUUGUCCUUUACGUUGCAGAUCCCAAAACUCUAAAUAGGACUCAUAUAUGUGAAGUUGGGGAUCAAGAUGGCUACUGUGUGCUGUUUUAGUAGUUGUCAGUUGUUUUACUAACUACUAGCUGUUGGAAUUAGUUAUUUAUAUAGUGAUUUA